rnacentral:rRNA from 1 species
GUCAGAGGCGAUGAAGGGCGUGCUAAUCUGCGAUAAGCGCCGGUAAGGUGAUAUGAACCGUUAUAACCGGCGAUACCCGAAUGGGGAAACCCAGUGUGAUUCGUCACACUAUCAUUAACUGAAUCCAUAGGUUAAUGAGGCGAACCGGGGGAACUGAAACAUCUAAGUACCCCGAGGAAAAGAAAUCAACCGAGAUUCCCCCAGUAGCGGCGAGCGAACGGGGAGGAGCCCAGAGCCUGAAUCAGCAUGUGUGUUAGUGGAAGCGUCUGGAAAGGCGCGCGAUACAGGGUGACAGCCCCGUACACAAAAGCGCAUGUGCUGUGAGCUCGAUGAGUAGGGCGGGACACGUGGUAUCCUGUCUGAAUAUGGGGGGACCAUCCUCCAAGGCUAAAUACUCCUGACUGACCGAUAGUGAACCAGUACCGUGAGGGAAAGGCGAAAAGAACCCCGGCGAGGGGAGUGAAAAAGAACCUGAAACCGUGUACGUACAAGCAGUGGGAGCNNNNNNNNNNNNNNNNNNNNNNNNNNNNNNNNNNNNNNNNNNNNNNGGGCGUUAAGUUGCAGGGUAUAGACCCGAAACCCGGUGAUCUAGCCAUGGGCAGGUUGAAGGUUGGGUAACACUAACUGGAGGACCGAACCGACUAAUGUUGAAAAAUUAGCGGAUGACCUGUGGCUGGGGGUGAAAGGCCAAUCAAACCGGGAGAUAGCUGGUUCUCCCCGAAAGCUAUUUAGGUAGCGCCUCGUGAAUUCAUCUCCGGGGGUAGAGCACUGUUUCGGCUAGGGGGCCAUCCCGGCUUACCAACCCGAUGCAAACUGCGAAUACCGGAGAAUGUUAUCACGGGAGACACACGGCGGGUGCUAACGUCCGUCGUGAAGAGGGAAACAACCCAGACCGCCAGCUAAGGUCCCAAAGUCAUGGUUAAGUGGGAAACGAUGUGGGAAGGCCCAGACAGCCAGGAUGUUGGCUUAGAAGCAGCCAUCAUUUAAAGAAAGCGUAAUAGCUCACUGGUCGAGUCGGCCUGCGCGGAAGAUGUAACGGGGCUAAACCAUGCACCGAAGCUGCGGCAGCGAACGUAUCACCCAAGACAACUUUACGGAGUUGACGAUUGACGGAGCGAAGCGACGUCAAAGCGUUCAUUAAAGUCGAGUUGGCUUAGGGAUACGUUCGUUGGGUAGGGGAGCGUUCUGUAAGCCUGUGAAGGUGUGUCGUGAGGCAUGCUGGAGGUAUCAGAAGUGCGAAUGCUGACAUAAGUAACGAUAAAGCGGGUGAAAAGCCCGCUCGCCGGAAGACCAAGGGUUCCUGUCCAACGUUAAUCGGGGCAGGGUGAGUCGACCCCUAAGGCGAGGCCGAAAGGCGUAGUCGAUGGGAAACGGGUUAAUAUUCCCGUACUUGGUGUUACUGCGAAGGGGGGACGGAGAAGGCUAUGUUGGCCGGGCGACGGUUGUCCCGGUUUAAGCGUGUAGGUGUGUGUUCCAGGUAAAUCCGGUUCACUUUAACACUGAGGCGUGACGACGAGGCACUACGGUGCUGAAGCAACAAAUGCCCUGCUUCCAGGAAAAGCCUCUAAGCAUCAGGUAACACGAAAUCGUACCCCAAACCGACACAGGUGGUCAGGUAGAGAAUACCAAGGCGCUUGAGAGAACUCGGGUGAAGGAACUAGGCAAAAUGGUGCCGUAACUUCGGGAGAAGGCACGCUGACACGUAGGUGAAGUGAUUUACUCAUGGAGCUGAAGUCAGUCGAAGAUACCAGCUGGCUGCAACUGUUUAUUAAAAACACAGCACUGUGCAAACACGAAAGUGGACGUAUACGGUGUGACGCCUGCCCGGUGCCGGAAGGUUAAUUGAUGGGGUCAGCGCAAGCGAAGCUCCUGAUCGAAGCCCCGGUAAACGGCGGCCGUAACUAUAACGGUCCUAAGGUAGCGAAAUUCCUUGUCGGGUAAGUUCCGACCUGCACGAAUGGCGUAAUGAUGGCCAGGCUGUCUCCACCCGAGACUCAGUGAAAUUGAACUCGCUGUGAAGAUGCAGUGUACCCGCGGCAAGACGGAAAGACCCCGUGAACCUUUACUAUAGCUUGACACUGAACAUUGAGCCUUGAUGUGUAGGAUAGGUGGGAGGCUUUGAAGUGUGGACGCCAGUCUGCAUGGAGCCGACCUUGAAAUACCACCCUUUAAUGUUUGAUGUUCUAACGUGGACCCGUAAUCCGGGUUGCGGACAGUGUCUGGUGGGUAGUUUGACUGGGGCGGUCUCCUCCUAAAGAGUAACGGAGGAGCACGAAGGUUGGCUAAUCCUGGUCGGACAUCAGGAGGUUAGUGCAAUGGCAUAAGCCAGCUUGACUGCGAGCGUGACGGCGCGAGCAGGUGCGAAAGCAGGUCAUAGUGAUCCGGUGGUUCUGAAUGGAAGGGCCAUCGCUCAACGGAUAAAAGGUACUCCGGGGAUAACAGGCUGAUACCGCCCAAGAGUUCAUAUCGACGGCGGUGUUUGGCACCUCGAUGUCGGCUCAUCACAUCCUGGGGCUGAAGUAGGUCCCAAGGGUAUGGCUGUUCGCCAUUUAAAGUGGUACGCGAGCUGGGUUUAGAACGUCGUGAGACAGUUCGGUCCCUAUCUGCCGUGGGCGCUGGAGAACUGAGGGGGGCUGCUCCUAGUACGAGAGGACCGGAGUGGACGCAUCACUGGUGUUCGGGUUGUCAUGCCAAUGGCACUGCCCGGUAGCUAAAUGCGGAAGAGAUAAGUGCUGAAAGCAUCUAAGCACGAAACUUGCCCCGAGAUGAGUUCUCCCUGAGACUUAGAGUCUCCUGAAGGAACGUUGAAGACGACGACGUU